rnacentral:rRNA from 1 species
CCGCCGGCGACCGGCGCACGGGUGAGUAACACGUAUGCAACCUGGCCGUGACAGAUGGAUAACCGGGAGAAAUCCCGCCUAAUACAACAUAAUGCCGGGAGGGGACAUCCCCUGCCGGCCAAAGGGGGCGACCCCGGUCACGGAUGGGCAUGCGGCGCAUUAGGUAGUAGGCGGGGUAACGGCCCACCUAACCGACGAUGCGUAGGGGUUCUGAGAGGAAGGUCCCCCACACUGGUACUGAGACACGGACCAGACUCCUACGGGAGGCAGCAG